UACGUAGGGUGCGAGCGUUGUCCGGAAUUAUUGGGCGUAAAGGGCUCGUAGGCGGUUUGUCGCGUCGGGAGUGAAAUCCACUGGCUUAACUGGUGGCUUGCUUUCGAUACGGGCAGACUGGAGGUAUGCAGGGGAGAACGGAAUUCCUGGUGUAGCGGUGAAAUGCGCAGAUAUCAGGAGGAACACCGGUGGCGAAGGCGGUUCUCUGGGCAUGUCCUGACGCUCAGGGGCGAAAGCGUGGGGAGCAAACCGG
rnacentral:rRNA from 1 species